AAAUCAUAUCUCGAACAAACAGUGCGCUUGAUGGCGCCCGCCCAACCACCGCCGGCUCAGUCGCUCUAACACCUCUCGAUCACCUCCUUGCAAGCAAUGCUAGCCAUGGCCGCCGCCGCGCUCUCGCCGGAGCGCGUCCAGUCGUCGUAGCCCCUACUCGCCGGCGCCGCUCCAAUCACCGUGGUUCAGCCACCCGCGGCGGAGUAUGAAGCGCCACGACGCGGGAACGCCGCCGCGGCGCGCGCGCGACCAUGCACGCGGCGUGCUUGUGCUCCACCUGCUGCUCGUGUCGGCCUCGCUGCGCGGCGCGACGGCCGCGCCGGGCGAGGCGGAGGCGCUGCUCGCGUGGAAGGACACCCUGCCGCGCUCGGCGGCGGCGGCGGCCGGCGUCCUCGGGUCGUGGGCGACGCCGUCGCCGCAGCAGCCGAACGCGAACCCCGCGUCGCGGCGCGCGUGGCGCGGCGUGGCGUCGACGCGUCGGGCGUCGUGGUGGGCGUCGACGUGGCGGCGCGGGGGUCGCCGGGACGCUCGACGCCCUCGACCUCUCGUCGCUGCCGGGCCUCGCCGCGCUCAACCUCAGCCUCAACUCGCUCACGGGCUCCUUCCCGUCGAACGUGUCGUCGCCGCUGCUCAGCCUCCGGUCCAUCGAUCUGUCGAGCAACAACCUCUCCGGCCCGAUCCCGGCGGCGCUGCCGGCGCUCAUGCCCAACCUCGAGCACCUCAACCUCUCGUCCAACCAGUUCUCCGGCGAGAUACCGGCGUCCCUCGCGAAGCUGACGAAGCUCCAGAGCGUCGUUCUUGGCUCCAACCUCCUCCACGGCGGCGUGCCGCCGGUGAUCGGCAACAUCUCCGGCCUGCGAACGCUCGAGCUCUCCGGUAACCCGUUGGGCGGCGCGAUCCCUACCACUCUCGGCAAGCUCCGGUCGCUGGAACACAUCAACGUCAGCCUCGCCGGGCUGGAGUCCACCAUUCCCGACGAGCUCAGCCUCUGCGCCAACCUCACCGUCAUUGGCCUCGCCGGGAACAAGCUCACCGGCAAGCUGCCGGUAGCGCUGGCGAGGCUGACGAGAGUGCGGGAGUUCAACGUCUCCAAGAACAUGCUCUCCGGCGAGGUCUUGCCCGACUACUUCACCGCCUGGACCAACCUCGAGGUGUUCCAGGCGGACGGCAACCGGUUCACCGGCGAGAUCCCCACGGCGAUCACCAUGGCGUCGAGGCUGGAGUUCCUCUCCUUGGCGACCAACAACCUCUCCGGCGCGAUCCCGCCGGUGAUCGGAACGCUCGCCAACCUCAAGCUCCUCGACCUCGCCGAGAACAAGCUCGCCGGUGCGAUCCCCCGCACGAUCGGCAACCUCACGAGCCUCGAGACGCUGCGGCUGUACACCAACAAGCUCACCGGCCGGCUCCCCGACGAGCUCGGCGACAUGGCGGCGCUGCAGAGGCUGUCCGUAAGCAGCAACAUGCUGGAGGGCGAGCUCCCGGCGGGGCUCGCGCGGCUGCCGAGGCUCGUCGGCCUCGUCGCCUUCGACAACCUCCUCUCCGGGGCCAUCCCGCCGGAGUUCGGCCGGAACGGCCAGCUCUCCAUCGUCAGCAUGGCGAACAACCGCUUCUCCGGCGAGCUGCCUCGUGGCGUGUGCGCGAGCGCGCCGCGGCUCCGGUGGCUCGGCCUCGACGACAACCAAUUCUCCGGCACCGUGCCGGCGUGCUACCGCAACCUGACCAACCUUGUGCGCCUCCGGAUGGCACGGAACAAGCUCGCCGGCGACGUGUCGGAGAUCCUCGCGUCGCACCCCGACCUUUACUACCUUGACCUGUCCGGCAACUCGUUCGACGGCGAGCUCCCCGAGCACUGGGCGCAGUUCAAGAGCCUCUCGUUCCUCCACUUGAGCGGCAACAAGAUCGCCGGAGCGAUUCCGGCGAGCUACGGCGCCAUGUCCCUGCAAGAUUUGGACCUCUCGUCGAACCGUCUCGCCGGCGAGAUCCCGCCGGAGCUCGGGAGCUUGCCGUUGACCAAGCUGAACCUGCGCCGCAACGCCUUGUCGGGACGUGUCCCUGCGACGCUCGGGAACGCCGCGAGAAUGGAGAUGCUCGACCUGUCCGGGAACGCGCUCGACGGCGGCGUGCCGGUGGAGCUGACGAAGCUGGCCGAGAUGUGGUACCUCAACCUGAGCAGCAACAACCUCUCCGGCGAGGUGCCGCCCCUGCUCGGCAAGAUGAGGUCGCUGACGACGCUGGAUCUCAGCGGCAACCCCGGCCUGUGCGGCCACGACAUUGCCGGGCUGAACUCUUGCAGCUCGAACACCACCACCGGCGACGGCCACUCCGGUAAGACGAGGCUGGUGCUCGCCGUCACGCUCUCCGUCGCCGCCGCGCUGCUGGUGUCCAUGGUGGCCGUGGUUUGCGCGGUGUCACGCAAGGCGAGGCGAGCCGCCGUCGUCGUAGAGAAGGCGGAGACGUCGGCGAGCGGAGGCGGCGGGAGCUCGACGGCGGCGGCGGUGCAGGCCUCGAUAUGGAGCAAGGACACGACGUUCUCCUUCGGCGACAUCCUGGCGGCGACGGAGCACUUCAACGACGCGUACUGCAUCGGCAAGGGGAGCUUCGGGACCGUGUACCGCGCCGACCUCGGCGGCGGGCGCGCCGUCGCCGUGAAGCGGCUCGACGCGUCGGAGACCGGCGACGCGUGCUGGGGCGUCAGCGAGAGGAGCUUCGAGAACGAGGUGAGGGCGCUGACGCGGGUCCGCCACCGCAACAUCGUCAAGCUCCACGGCUUCUGCGCCAUGGGCGGGUACAUGUACCUCGUGUACGAGCUCGCCGAGCGGGGCAGCCUCGGCGCGGUGCUGUACGGCGGCGGCGGCGGCGGCGGCUGCAGGUUCGACUGGCCGGCGAGGAUGAGGGCGAUCAGGGGCGUCGCGCACGCGCUCGCCUACCUCCACCACGACUGCUCGCCGCCGAUGAUCCACCGCGACGUCUCCGUCAACAACGUCCUCCUCGACCCGGACUACGAGCCGCGGGUGUCGGACUUCGGCACGGCGAGGUUCCUCGUCCCCGGCCGCUCCACCUGCGACAGCAUCGCCGGCUCCUACGGCUACAUGGCACCAGAGCUGGCGUACAUGAGGGUGACGACCAAGUGCGACGUGUACAGCUUCGGCGUCGUGGCGAUGGAGAUGCUCAUGGGCAAGUACCCCGGCGGGCUCAUCAGCUCGCUGCAACACUCGCCGCAGUCACUGUCAGCCGAGGGGCACGACGGCAGCGGCGGCGGCGGCGGCGAGGAGGCGUCGGCGUCGGCGUCGCGCCGGCUGCUGCUCAAGGACGUGGUGGAUCAGAGGCUGGACGCCCCGGCGGGGAAGCUGGCCGGGCAGGUCGUGUUCGCCUUCGUCGUGGCGCUGUCUUGCGUCCGGACGAGCCCCGACGCCCGGCCGACGAUGCGCGCCGUCGCGCAGGAGCUCGCCGCUCGCCGGCGACCGAUCCUGGACAGGCCGUUCGAGAUGAUCAAGAUAGGCGACCUGACAAAUUCUCACAGAUGAGAGAGAAAAUUUGUGACAAAUUAUCGAUUGCUUUGUGCUUAUGUGAUUCCGUUAGUAGAUUCUCAUUAGCAUCUGUAUAGUUUUUGUACAGUGAUAUUUAGUCCCGUUUGAGAACAGAUGAUGAAGAGUGUUGAUUGACUUUUUUUAAAAAAGAAAUUAAAAAUUGGAUUUA